UACGUAGGGGGCUAGCGUUGUCCGGAAUCAUUGGGCGUAAAGCGCGUGUAGGCGGUCCGGUAAGUCCGCUGUGAAAGUCGAGGGCUCAACCCUCGAAUGCCGGUGGAUACUGUCGGGCUAGAGUACGGAAGAGGCGAGUGGAAUUCCUGGUGUAGCGGUGAAAUGCGCAGAUAUCAGGAGGAACACCAGCGGCGAAGGCGGCGCUCUGGGCCGGAACUGACGCUGAGGAGCGAAAGCGUGGGGAGCAAACAGG
rnacentral:rRNA from 1 species